CAGUUGGAAACGACUGCUAAUACCGCAUAAUAUCUACGGAUCAAAGAUUUAUCGCCCAAGGAUCAGCCCGCGUUGGAUUAGCUUGUUGGUGGGGUAAUGGCCUACCAAGGCAACGAUCCAUAGCCGGUCUGAGAGGAUGACCGGCCACACUGGGACUGAGACACGGCCCAGACUCCUACGGGAGGCAGCAGUAGGGAAUAUUGGGCAAUGGGCGAAAGCCUGACCCAGCCAUGCCGCGUGUGUGAUGAAGGCCCUAGGGUUGUAAAGCACUUUUAGAUGUGACGAUUAUGACGGUAGCAUCAGAAAAAG
rnacentral:rRNA from 1 species